rnacentral:lncRNA from 1 species
AAAGGAAUGUUCAGCUCUGUGAGUUAAAUACAAUCAUCACAAAGAAUUUUCUGUGAAUGCUUCCGUUUGGUUUUUAUGUGAAGUUAUUUCCUUUAAUACCGUAGGCCACAAAGCAGUCCAAAUCUCCAAUUGCAGAUUGUACAAAAAGAGUGUUUACAAACUGCACUAUCCAUAGGAAUGUUCAACUCUGUGAGUCGAAUGCAAUCAUCACAAAGUAGUUUCUGAGAAUGCUUCUAUCUAGUUUUUAUGUGAAGAUGUUUCCUUU